GCUCGAAAAAAUCAACACCACACCACUACCUCUACCCCUUAUCUCCUUCCCCUCCCGAUCUGAGCGGCGGCGGCGGCGAUGACGUUGACGCUCGCAUUCGGCGACGCUUCCCGCACUCUGUCCAUCUCUUCCUUCCCACCACUCCAUCACCAUCCCCACAUCGCUGCUGUUUUCCCAUGUGGAGGUGGUCCUGUCGCGCCGAUGCUCUCACCCAGCUGCCGUCGGCGGCACUUCUUGUUCGUGCCCAGGCGCCCGUUGCGGUCAUCUCUCCCCUCGCUCCCAUGGCGCCACUGCCCCAACCUAUACCCAACUCCCUCUCCCCCCUCCCAUGGUAGCAGAUCUGAGCGGGGCAAGGUCCCUUCGGUCCUGGUGGUUCGGAAUGAGGCAGGCGGCUUCUGCUCCCUUAUCUUCUGGCGACUAGGAGUGUGGCCGGUUGGUGCCCCCAUCUCUCUUAGACAUCCAUGGCAGCAACAACAUCCGGUGAAACGAACUUGAAUAGGUUUGGUGGAUGUUUGGGCAAUUACUCAACUAGGAGUACUAACUAAAACAGAAGGCCACUGAAACUUUAGUAGAUUUUUGUGGUUCCAGUGGCUCAAUCGACACAUGGUGUGUCAGCAUUUGCCUAUUUACCUCAAGGGCCUGCCAAGAGUGUUGCCAAUACCAGCGUGCUUUUUGCUACAGAAAUGAAUUUUUGAACACUUGUAGCACAUGGUGUCCUGGGAAUCCUGGCUAUGUAAAUUUCACCUGCUAGCUCAUUAUCAGGGGAAGUGUUGGUCAUGCUAGUGUGCAUACUCACUUGGGAAGAAAUGGAAGUAGGAGAGAGCAUAUCAUCCAAUACUAAGGAUUUCAAUUAUCAUGGUGUAUUCAAGUCAAAGCUAAAUAGUAGUCUACGUCCGCCUACCUUGGCAAGGAUUCCAGGUGAAUCUACUUUGGUGUUGUAGCUUCUUUCCUUCAUAUUACUCUUAUUUUGGGGGAUUUAAUUUAUUCUUAAUCCUAUUUCCAUUCUGGGUGAAAAUGCUGGGAACCUUUUGGACACAUGUACAUUUUACGUGUUCCCCCUUCCUGCCCAAAACAAUGUUAGGAACACUAUAUGCUCAGCAAUCGUACAAAGUAAAUGAUGCAUUUCCUUCCAAAUGGAUAUACAAAAAGUUGAUUGAGGGUUUCUAUGCCACAUCCAUGGUUACUGCUGGAAGUCGAUUGGCAGUCUUCAUGUACCGAUAUGCUAUUUUUAUAGAUUAGGAAGCAAACACAAGGAUGGACUCACUAUGAAGCAUGAAGCCAGCGAUCCACAUCAACUGGAUGUUUUAGCUCUCAUUUUGUAUAUCUGAUGUAUCAUAGUUGCAUCUUUUAGCUGUCCUUCUGUGAACCUGAUGUAUGGUGUCUUGACGGUUAUGUCUAGAACAAAGUGAAGUGUAUGUACGUGACAUGGUGUCUUGGUUGUUAUGUCUAGAACAGACUGAAAUGUAUGUAUGUGACAGUUAGUUAAAUGGAAUAAAAAAUGGUUGGUGCACCUGA